UACAGAGGGGGCAAGCGUUAUUCGGAAUUAUUGGGCGUAAAGAGCGUGUAGGCGGCCAGACAGGUCCGUUGUGAAAACUCGAGGCUCAACCUCGAGACGUCGACGGAAACCGUCUGGCUAGAGUCCGGAAGAGGAGUGUGGAAUUCCUGGUGUAGCGGUGAAAUGCGCAGAUAUCAGGAAGAACACCUAUGGCGAAGGCAGCACUCUGGGACGGUACUGACGCUGAGACGCGAAAGCGUGGGGAGCGAACAGG
rnacentral:rRNA from 1 species